UACGAGAGGCCCAAACGUUAUUCGGAAUUACUGGGCUUAAAGAGUUCGUAGGCGGCGCGGAAAGUAGGGUGUGAAAGCCCUCGGCUCAACCGAGGAAUUGCGCUCUAAACUGCCGUGCUUGAGGAAGCUAGAGGUGAGCGGAACUGAUGGUGGAGCGGUGAAAUGCGUUGAGUAUCAUCGAGGAACACCGGAGGCGAAGG
rnacentral:rRNA from 1 species